AAUGGGUCAGCGACUUAUAUUCUGUAGCAAGGUUAACCGAAUAGGGGAGCCGAAGGGAAACCGAGUCUUAACUGGGCGUUAAGUUGCAGGGUAUAGACCCGAAACCCGGUGAUCUAGCCAUGGGCAGGUUGAAGGUUGGGUAACACUAACUGGAGGACCGAACCGACUAAUGUUGAAAAAUUAGCGGAUGACUUGUGGCUGGGGGUGAAAGGCCAAUCAAACCGGGAGAUAGCUGGUUCUCCCCGAAAGCUAUUUAGGUAGCGCCUCGUGAACUCAUCUCCGGGGGUAGAGCACUGUUUCGGCAAGGGGGUCAUCCCGACUUACCAACCCGAUGCAAACUGCGAAUACCGGAGAAUGUUAUCACGGGAGACACACGGCGGGUGCUAACGUCCGUCGUGAAGAGGGAAACAACCCAGACCGCCAGCUAAGGUCCCAAAGUCAUGGUUAAGUGGGAAACGAUGUGGGAAGGCCCAGACAGCCAGGAUGUUGGCUUAGAAGCAGCCAUCAUUUAAAGAAAGCGUAAUAGCUCACUGGUCGAGUCGGCCUGCGCGGAAGAUGUAACGGGGCUAAACCAUGCACCGAAGCUGCGGCAGCGACGCUUAUGCGUUGUUGGGUAGGGGAGCGUUCUGUAAGCCUGCGAAGGUGUACUGUGAGGUAUGCUGGAGGUAUCAGAAGUGCGAAUGCUGACAUAAGUAACGAUAAAGCGGGUGAAAAGCCCGCUCGCCGGAAGACCAAGGGUUCCUGUCCAACGUUAAUCGGGGCAGGGUGAGUCGACCCCUAAGGCGAGGCCGAAAGGCGUAGUCGAUGGGAAACAGGUUAAUAUUCCUGUACUUGGUGUUACUGCGAAGGGGGGACGGAGAAGGCUAUGUUGGCCGGGCGACGGUUGUCCCGGUUUAAGCGUGUAGGCUGGUUUUCCAGGCAAAUCCGGAAAAUCAAGGCUGAGGCGUGAUGACGAGGCACUACGGUGCUGAAGCAACAAAUGCCCUGCUUCCAGGAAAAGCCUCUAAGCAUCAGGUAACAUCAAAUCGUACCCCAAACCGACACAGGUGGUCAGGUAGAGAAUACCAAGGCGCUUGAGAGAACUCGGGUGAAGGAACUAGGCAAAAUGGUGCCGUAACUUCGGGAGAAGGCACGCUGAUACGUAGGUGAAGUCCCUUGCGGAUGGAGCUGAAAUCAGUCGAAGAUACCAGCUGGCUGCAACUGUUUAUUAAAAACACAGCACUGUGCAAACACGAAAGUGGACGUAUACGGUGUGACGCCUGCCCGGUGCCGGAAGGUUAAUUGAUGGGGUUAGCGGUAACGCGAAGCUCUUGAUCGAAGCCCCGGUAAACGGCGGCCGUAACUAUAACGGUCCUAAGGUAGCGAAAUUCCUUGUCGGGUAAGUUCCGACCUGCACGAAUGGCGUAAUGAUGGCCAGGCUGUCUCCACCCGAGACUCAGUGAAAUUGAACUCGCUGUGAAGAUGCAGUGUACCCGCGGCAAGACGGAAAGACCCCGUGAACCUUUACUAUAGCUUGACACUGAACAUUGAGCCUUGAUGUGUAGGAUAGGUGGGAGGCUUUGAAGUGUGGACGCCAGUCUGCAUGGAGCCGACCUUGAAAUACCACCCUUUAAUGUUU
rnacentral:rRNA from 1 species